UGGGGAAUAUUGGACAAUGGGGGCAACCCUGAUCCAGCCAUGCCGCGUGAGUGAAGAAGGCCCUCGGGUUGUAAAGCUCUUUUGUCCGGAAAGAAAAGCUUCGGGUUAAUACCCCAGGGUUCUGCCGGUACCGGAAGAAUAAGCACCGGCUAACUUCGUGCCAGCAGCCGCGGUAAUACGAAGGGUGCAAGCGUUACUCGGAAUUACUGGGCGUAAAGCGUGCGUAGGUGGUUGUUUAAGUCUGAUGUGAAAGCCCUGGGCUCAACCUGGGAAUGGCAUUGGAAACUGGGCAGCUAGAGUGCGGUAGAGGGUAGUGGAAUUCCCGGUGUAGCAGUGAAAUGCGUAGAGAUCGGGAGGAGCAUCCGCGGCGAAGGCGACUGCCUGGACCGGCGCUGACACUGAGGCACGAAAGCGUGGGGAGCAAA
rnacentral:rRNA from 1 species